AGCGAACGUUAGCGGCAGGCCUAACACAUGCAAGUCGAGCGAGAAAGAGGGCUUCGGUCCUCGAGUACAGCGGCGUACGGGUGAGUAACACGUGGAUAAUCUGCCCUUCGGUGGGGGACA
rnacentral:rRNA from 1 species